GAAUACUUUUAAGUGUCUUUCAGUGUGCUACCUUAAGAUCAUGGGUCUCCAAGCCACCACAGCUAAGCUCAAACCAGGAGCUGCACAGCGGUUUAAACCUUAAACCAUCUCAGACCAGCUUCAACAUGACUAGGCAUGGAGCUGAGUGCCUCCACAUACUAGGUGCUGGAUACAGAUGUUCUGGGCUGUACUGGGGAUAUCAUUCUGCCAUUCCCUCUUAGCCAUUCAGUGUUACGCCAUGAUACCCUGAGCUUCAUAUCUUGCUGAUUCCAGUACACUCUCCCCCUCCGCUUGUUGAUUCAUUUCUUUCGGUUCAAACAAACAAUUCUAACCAGCAAUGCCCUACCAGAGCUACUCAUAUGACGAUGCCGUGUCUGCAGGAAGUUGUAAGAGUGUAUCAUAGGCAGCUGCGGUGACAGUCAAAACACACACAUACACACACACAAAGGAAGAGUGUAAUGUCCCUUAGACAGCAGAGGUUGGGGAAGCCCUUUGACAUUUGACCUCAGGAAAGGCCCAGCCCUUGCUGCGUCAGGGAAGAGUCACCAACCUGUAGAGCUGGAGUCACGUCAUGAUUUCAGGAGAACCGAAGGCACUACAAGAGGCCAACAGCACAGUCGUAAACAGAAACGCAUUCCUAAUGGACUUGGACAUAACAACCUUUAACCCCGCUGACUCGAUUAGGGUACACAAAUUCAAGGGUCUAAACUCAGCACUAAAGUGCACACACUUCAAUGGAUUCACAUGUGGUCUGCUAUUAGUUCCCUCAUGGGGUCACAC